rnacentral:rRNA from 1 species
CCUACGGGCGGCAGCAGUGGGGAAUAUUGCACAAUGGCGGGAACCCUGAUGCAGCAAUGCCGCGUGGGUGAAGAAGCACUCCGGUGCGUAAAGCCCUGUCAUCAGGGAAGAAAAUGACAGUACCUGGACAAGAAGCCCCGGCUAACUACGUGCCAGCAGCCGCGGUAAUCCGUAGGGGCCACGCGUUACCCGGAUUUACUGGGUGUAAGGGGAGCGCAUGCGGCGUGGCAAGUCAGAUGGUAAAACCCGGGGGCAAACCCCGGGAGUGCAAUUGAAACUGCCAUGCUGGAGUGCCGGAGAGGUAAGCGGAAUUCCUAGUGUAGCGGUGAAAUGCGUAGAUAUUAGGAGGAACACCAGUGGCGGAGGCGGCUUACUGGUCGGUAACUGACGCUGAGGCUCGAAAGCGUGGGGAGCAAACAGGAUUAGAUACCCCUGUAGUC